rnacentral:rRNA from 1 species
CAGUCGCCGCGGUAAUACGAAGGGGGCUAGCGUUGUUCGGAAUUACUGGGCGUAAAGCGCACGUAGGCGGACAUUUAAGUCAGGGGUGAAAUCCCGGGGCUCAACCCCGGAACUGCCUUUGAUACUGGGUGUCUAGAGUAUGGAAGAGGUGAGUGGAAUUCCGAGUGUAGAGGUGAAAUUCGUAGAUAUUCGGAGGAACACCAGUGGCGAAGGCGGCUCACUGGUCCAUUACUGACGCUGAGGUGCGAAAGCGUGGGGAGCAAACAGGAUUAGAUACCCCUGUAGUCCCUGUCUCUUAUCC